CACUGAUAACCGAGUUAUGGACAGAGAAAUACUCUUUUUUUAACGGCAAAUUAUAUUUACCUGUCAGAGUGACGAUUACUGACGUACAAAAUCGUGAAUAAUUAAUAAAUUUUAAAUAAUGUUGCGAGAAUGAACGUUUCUGCCGCUUGUAUCAUCUGUCUCGUGCCUUAUUCGGAAGACCUGGAAAUCGUUUCGCUCAGUUGUCAUCAUUGUUUUCACAGGAAUUGCAUCAAGGAAUGGCUCAAAAUUCGGAGUGAAUGUCCGCAAUGUCGAAAAUUAGUGAAACCUAAACAUCUGAAUCGAGUAAUACUGAGCUUUGAAAGUGGCGAAAAAUUCAUUUUUGAUGAAAAUUCACACAAAAUUGAUGACCUUGAACAACAAUUAUUGAGCAAAGAUAAAAUUUUGACCGAAACCGACACGGAAGUGCAACGAAUGCGUCAAAAAUUGAAAAAACAGGAAAAAAUUGAGGCAGAUCUCCGUCGACAAAUUAAAGUGAAAGAUGCAGUUAUAAAUCAGUCACUUUUCGAUGUGAGAGACAUUGAAAAGAUGCUUUUGGACUUGGAAAGCGCUUCAUUGACACAGUCAAAGGAAAAAGAGGAAGAAAUUAAGGAACUUACGUUGAGAUUAAAACUUCAAGAUCAACUAUUGCAAGAUUUUCAAAGCAAAUCUGAAGGAAAAUCAUCAGAAAAUGAAGAAAUUCGUGUUUUAGAGCGAAAAUUAAAAGAAACAACGAAAGAAUUGCAAAGUCUUCAGUCAAAAUUUGAUCAAAUAAUGUCAAUUGUGGAUAAGUUUAAGCUGGAAAAGGCCUGUGACAGCUUAUCAAAGGUUCAAAUUUCAUCAAAUGAGGUCAUUGAUCUUACAAUUGAUGAUUUGUUAUGAUUCAAUUCAACAAUUAAAGGAAUGUGAUGGAUAAAAAAGUUCAAUUCCUAUAAUAAAAUUUCACGAGGACUUGAUUUUUUGUAAAAAUUUAACAUAAUUUAACCAAAAACGAACGUAAAUAUUAAGAUUUUGUCUUAAAAAGGCUUUCAAGUCAAUUUUUUAUGUAACAGAGCAAAAAAUUUAGUUAAAUAUCCAAAUAUUCUUCAAUAUUUUCAAAAAAAAAUAAAAAUUUGUUAAUUUAGGCAACAAAAUUUACUUUAAAACUUUGAAAAUUUAAAAAAAUUAUCAAAAACUGAUAAAUUUCACACCAAAAAAGCCUCUGUACAAAAAUUUUCCGUUCCCACAAGUCGCGUCUCGCAAGAAAUCCACACGAAAAUCGAUAGUACAGUAAUUGCUUGCAGCAAAGAAAAUAUCCUGUUGUGCUAAUAACGUGCCUCGCAUCAAUAAAAUAAUCAAAACAAAACAUUAAUUACACGAAAAACUACAAAUACUGCGAACACUUAACACUUCCUCGAACACGGACUCGACUCGAUGAUGAUGAUGAUGUUGCUGGUCAAUAAAGAACGAACGGAACACGUGCCAGCUAUUUUUAUGCCACAAUCCUAUAUUUGGACUUUUGUUUCGUUUCUUUUCUACUCCUUUUAUGUUACCUCAUAAAAACAUAAACAUCGGCAGCCAAUGGGAAAAGUUUCACUCCUUUACUUUGCUCCGAUCAUCGGCAUAAUGAGAUGGAAUGCGGUCAGAAAUUAUAAUAAUUUUGGUAUUUUUCCGUGUAUUUUGUGGCUUCAAGGUGACGAGGACGACGGGAGAAGGGGAAAUAAAAUGAACCGGCAACUGACCUAUGCUGAGAACUCAUUUGAUUACAUUUUGCGUCGAAAAAUGGACAAAAAAGUUUAACGUGCAAUGACGUCAUUAUUUUUACAACAACCUCAUCAUCGUCGACGUAGAAGACUAAGGAACUUUUGGUGUAUCGUGCCGCAAAGCAAUCCGCUUUUAAUCUAAUUAUGUACGAAAAACAACCACAACACGGACGACUCGAAAUAACUGAUUAACAUAUCAAUUAUUAGCAUUUAUGGAACGAAGAACGAAGCGAAUCUCUAAUAUGUAUGAUUAACGGUUUGAUUGCCUCCUUUCGAAAUGCGUGCGUGUCGUCACUUUUAUAACGUAAUAAAGUGCGCCAUUAACUCUUUGCGUCACUUUCCUUCAAUCAAAACGAGUGAAUGACGAGUACACGACGACGACGGCAGGAUAUUAUUGAUUUAAUUUCUGAAACAUGUUGUUCCACUAAUUGACUUAGAUGAGUUAAAUUUAUUUAUUUUUUAUGCAAAUUUCAGUAAUGUUUACAGUGUAAUGUAAAGU